GGGGAAUUUUGGACAAUGGACGCAAGUCUGAUCCAGCAAUGCCGCGUGCAGGACGAAGGCCUUCGGGUUGUAAACUGCUUUUGUACAGAACGAAAAAGUCUUUAAUAACACUAGAGGCUCAUGACGGUACUGUAAGAAUAAGCACCGGCUAACUACGUGCCAGCAGCCGCGGUAAUACGUAGGGUGCAAGCGUUAAUCGGAAUUACUGGGCGUAAAGCGUGCGCAGGCGGUUAUAUAAGACAGAUGUGAAAUCCCCGGGCUCAACCUGGGACCUGCAUUUGUGACUGUAUAGCUAGAGUACGGUAGAGGGGGAUGGAAUUCCGCGUGUAGCAGUGAAAUGCGUAGAUAUGCGGAGGAACACCGAUGGCGAAGGCAAUCCCCUGGACCUGUACUGACGCUCAUGCACGAAAGCGUGGGGAGCAAAC
rnacentral:rRNA from 1 species